GCAUUAAUUAAGAUAAACCGGGCUAUUUUUAAAGAAAAUGUCGACAAUAAUAUGACUAGUUUAGGUUUAUAUCCGUUUGAAAUGAAAAUGCGUGAACGUACAGAAUGAUUUCAUUAAAAUAAGCUUUGGAUAUAGCAAUUUAUGAAUUGUUGCUGGAAUUCAUGACGAUUACAAACAUUUUCAUCACAUACAUUUAGCAUAUCAUUGAGUAUUCUACGUCUACGUGUAAUCGGUGAAUGACAUUUCCAGAAACGUGAAAAACAAUGUCAUCAACUAAAUCUAUGCCCGGUGGUUGGCAACCGAUACCGGUAACCGAUAAAAUCGUAGAAAUGGCGAGAAAAGCAGCUCAUACAUUAUGGCCAGACCUUUUCAUGGACCAAGUAGUAAAGGCUUAUUCGCAGGUCGUUGCAGGUACGAACUACCGCCUGAAGAUAAAGUUGUACAAUAUCAAAAAUGAUCAGGUGACAGUGAAGCACACGGUGAAGGUGUUUGAGCCCUUCCCAGGCUCGAAAUAGCCGAAGAUGUUGAAUGUCGUUCAAUGCGAAUAGCUACCACAUCUGCAUUACAUUGGAAUUAAUACCAGGUUACUCUUGCAAAUGAGCGUUUUCAUUUACUGUUUUCCGUUCACUGCAAAAUAACAUACCACGCCGAUGUUCACUUUUAUUAGAAUACGAACACAUAUUUCUAACACAUGUGUUAAUGAGACAAGUAUCUUCAAUUUGAUAAAUUUUACUCCUGUAAACAUUAUAUAUUGUCAAUUCAUUGUAGACGUUGUAUUAAUUUAGACAAGAGUACACAUAAUUUCUGUUUGAAUGAAAAUUAUAACAAGAGAUGUGUUUGUCAGAAACACAAUGCCCCCUAUUGCGCCGCUUUGAAAUAAAAUUUCAAUAUAUCAUUUGGCAGGUUUAGAAAUUAUCUCCUUUUAAAGCUUAUUACUUUCCUUGGAUUGUAUUUUUUUAUACUUUUGACCUUGAUGGAUGACUUUGACCUUUCACCAUUUAAAAUGUGCAGCUUCAUGAGAUACACAUGCAUGCCAAAUAUCAAGUUGUUAUCUUCAAAAAAGCAAAAGUUAUGGCCAAUGUUAAAGUUUUCGGACGGACGGACGGACAGUUCAACUGCUUUAAGCCACCCUACCCGGGGCAUAAGAGGCCUUACUGGAUGUUACACGAGCAUUCAUGUUUUGUUUGUAAAUGGAAUCAAACAUAUAUUUAUAUAGACAUAAACGAAAUGUGUUUUUCACACGUACCAUGUAUGCAAUUCUUUCUUUUUCACUUUUCAUUCUUCAUUGAUUUACAUUAUUCCUUGUAAGCGUGGUACAUUUAUGAUGCUUUUAUGCAUUGCCGUAUUCAGUAAUGGGAACUACAAUAACAAAAUCUGCAUUUUUUACUGUGCUUUAUUUUAUAAUGCAACUUUUAGACUAUCUUGAUUCCUGUAUUUAAGUGAAUGUCAGUUUGAAUAAAUGAUCAGCAUUGA